CUUCCAGGAAACAUCAGGGUGUUCUAAAAUUAACUCUGCUACUUUGAGGUGACAGCAGCACUGCAUGUUUGCAUGACUUGAUAAACAACUGUGUGUGCACAAGAAGUAUUUUGUUGACUGUGUUAAGCCUGGUGAGGUCACAAAUCUGUGCUGAUCCAUUCACCAAUGGAGAAAGAAAGUUUUCAGUGAUGCUGCUGGACUAAAUCACCAAGUGCUGGCAGGCUGCCAGGGUUGUGUUGCUGGGCAGAUCAUCAGGUGGUGGCCGGUCACUGAGAGCUGCUCAUGCAGCAAAAAUGUACAGGACAGCAGACUCACCCUUCCUUCCUUCCUUCCUUCUCCAAUGUCAAGGAAGGAAGGACUGUCUCCUUGAUGACCCUGAUUAGAGCUGAUGGACAGCAUGGGGCUUCCAUAAAAUAAAUUAUUUGAUGGCUAGCUUCUUCAGCUAAUGGAUGACACAGAAUAUUGCCUGAAUCUAUUAUGUAUCUAUGAACACCAAAUUCCUAGAUUUCAAGACCAUCCCAAUUGCUGGAAGUCAUCUUAAGAGGAAUGCCUUGUGGAGCUUCAGCACUCGGCUCUUACUCUGUCAUCACAGCCUUGCAGAGAAGGGUGGAUGGCUGCGUCUGGGAGUCCAUCUAAGUAAGAGGCUGGUUCACCUUGAACACUGGUGUGAAGCAAGGCUACAUUUGAUUUCUGGGGCUGCUUAGCAUUAUCCUACAUAGCUACUGUGUAGGCAUCACAAGCAGCAGCAUUCCGUGGGGUGGAUUGCACAUCUCUUGGAAGCAUAAAUUGUACUAGUAGCACUGUGUUACUGAGCCAUAGACCUGAAAAAAACUGAAGAUACAUAACCCAGUAAAAGAAGUAAGCCAGACAGGAUUCUCAGUUAUCAAAGCAAACAUCCUUGAAAGCUUAAUACCAAGCAUCAAAGUCAUGCUAGAAAACACAAAUUCUGAGAAAGCAGAGCUUGCCAGUCCUGUCCAUAUCCCAUUUCUGACUAAUUAGGAAAGACUGACAGUAAAAAUAGGAGAGUCUUCCACCACUCAUUUCAGCAUAUGGAAAUUCA
rnacentral:lncRNA from 1 species